rnacentral:rRNA from 1 species
CCUACGGGGGGCAGCAGUGGGGAAUAUUGCACAAUGGGGGAAACCCUGAUGCAGCGAUGCCGCGUGGAGGAAGAAGGUUUUCGGAUUGUAAACUCCUUUUAUCAGGGACGAUAAUGACGGUACCUGAAGAAAAAGCUCCGGCUAACUACGUGCCAGCGGCCGCGGUAAUACGUAGGGAGCGAGCGUUGUCCGGAAUUACUGGGUGUAAAGGGAGCGUAGGCGGGACGGCAAGUCAGAUGUGAAAACUGAGGGCUCAACCUUCAGACUGCAUUUGAAACUGAUGUUCUUGAGUGAAGUAGAGGUAA